CAAACCAAAAUUUCAAUCUUCAACCCAAAUGCUCAUUAAAAGUUAAUACUUUUAUGGGUGAAUGACUAUUCCAUUCAGGUCCGAUUUCGAUUUCUACAGUAAAAUACUCCAAAACAAAGGUUUGGUUUGGAUGAAUUAUGGAUUAUGGGUGGGGCUGUUUAACACUCUAUUUCUGAAUCUCAAUUCAACGCUCUAACGAAUAGAGAAAAAAUAAUUUAUUCCCGAGCUUCUUCCCUAACUAGAAAAUCUCAAACCCACUGACCUCAUUCAACUCUAGUCUUAGUUUGGAGGCUGUAAAUCUCUUUAUCAUCCAACUUCGGAGGCUGUCAAUUUUUGUAUGUGUGAUUGGUGUGGUGUUGAAGUUUACUUCAACUUUUUUUUUUGUAUGUACUUGUAGGAUGAUAUAAUGGCAUGGAAGUAUGUAAUACUAAUAUUGUCACUUUUUGUAGAUGUGUAAAUGAAUUUUCUACUAUAAUUAGACUCUUGAAAGCCGACCACGGUUUUUUAUGUUAAGAUAGAUGCUGAGAUGAUUGUUGGAUUA